GAUGAACGCUGGCGGCGUGCCUAAUACAUGCAAGUCGAGCGAACAGACGAGGAGCUUGCUCCUCUGACGUUAGCGGCGGACGGGUGAGUAACACGUGGAUAACCUACCUAUAAGACUGGGAUAACUUCGGGAAACCGGAGCUAAUACCGGAUAAUAUAUUGAACCGCAUGGUUCAAUAGUGAAAGACGGUUUUGCUGUCACUUAUAGAUGGAUCCGCGCCGCAUUAGCUAGUUGGUAAGGUAACGGCUUACCAAGGCAACGAUGCGUAGCCGACCUGAGAGGGUGAUCGGCCACACUGGAACUGAGACACGGUCCAUACUCCUACGGGAGGCAGCAGUAGGGAAUCUUCCGCAAUGGGCGAAAGCCUGACGGAGCAACGCCGCGUGAGUGAUGAAGGUCUUCGGAUCGUAAAACUCUGUUAUUAGGGAAGAACAAAUGUGUAAGUAACUAUGCACGUCUUGACGGUACCUAAUCAGAAAGCCACGGCUAACUACGUG
rnacentral:rRNA from 1 species